rnacentral:rRNA from 1 species
AUGAGCAAGCCUGUGAAGAUCGGGCCAUGGGGCGGCGAUGGAGGCGAACCUCGCGACAUCGAAUACACUCCUUUCGCACUAGUUGGUGUGGCAGUUCGUAGUGGGGACGCAAUCAACGGUGUCAGGUUUACUUACGUGGAUACCAGUGGGAAUCUGCAUGAGGAGGAAUGGGGAGGCUCCGAGGCGGAGAAAUUUGAGGAGUUGCUUCUUCAAGAAUUAGAAUAUGUGGAGGAAAUUUCAGGAACGUACGGUUCACCCCCUGAAUCAUAUGUAACAUCUCUUGAAUUGGUUACCAACAAGGGUCGGACUAUCCGUGGCGGCACUGCCGGCUCUGGGGGUUCUUUCAACGUCCCGCUAGUUUCCGCCCGGAUCAUCGGCUUCUUUGGAGCUGCGGGGACGACUUACAUUGACUCCUUUGGCAUCUAUGUGGGCUUUGCUGCAUGA